rnacentral:lncRNA from 1 species
GUUGAGUUGACUGAGUAUAGAAUUAUUUAACUGCAACGCAAGCGUGAUGAUGGGUAAGUUAUGCUCUUUCAAUUGAAAGCUUAAUGCAUAAAUGCACUGGGGAUUUUAUAGUUGUUGGCUUUCCGCUACUUUUCCUUACAAAUAUUUUUUUCUUUUCCUGUGUGGGCAACAGAGCUGUGGGAUUACUGGACGCACGUGAAAAACUGUGCGACUGAUUUUCUUAUUUUUAUAAACUACUUGGCUUUCUCGUACACGGGACUGCACUUGAUACGCCAUUUCUACCGUCACUUCCAUGAGAAUGAUGAGAUGUGAUCUUCCCCCGAAAAUAAAAAUUAACAUCUGACACCCGCAUACACUACACAUUGCGGAGUCCGGCGGAGUUCGACCAUCACACAAUCACUCAUAUCAAUGGAUUAAUUAAGGUAUGAUAGUAAAACAAUGGAAUGAAAUUAUUUGUAUUUUAUUUAUUCAAUUUCCUAGUGGUUGCCAAGCAUCGAAAUACCCAAUCGAUGGCAGGGUUGCAUGCUUUAAGGAUCGAUGAGCAAAGUGCAUUGCCAGAGUUACCAGACUGUCUAAUGUUUGUGGCUCUAUUACUGUAAUUUCAAUUAUAUUUAUAACCACUUAAGAGCUAAAUGGCUCCAUUCAAC